UGUAUACACCCAUGACUAAGUCGCUUUGGAUAAAAGUGUCUGCUAAAUGGCAUUUA
rfam:Salmo salar isolate Sally breed double haploid chromosome ssa27, whole genome shotgun sequence.